rnacentral:rRNA from 1 species
AUUGAACGCUGGCGGCAUGCCUUACACAUGCAAGUCGAACGGCAGCGGGGGAGAAGCUUGCUUUUCCUGCCGGCGAGUGGCGAACGGGUGAGUAAUACAUCGGAACGUGCCCUGGAGUGGGGGAUAACUAGUCGAAAGAUUAGCUAAUUCCGCAUACAACCUGAGGGUGAAAGUGGGGGACCGCAAGGCCUCAUGCUAUAGGGCCGGCCGAUGUCUGAUUAGCUAGUUGGCGGGGUAAAGGCCUACCAAGGCGACGCUCAGUAGCUGGUCUGAGAGGACGAUCAGCCACACUGGGACUGAGACACGGCCCAGACUCCUACGGGAGGCAGCAGUGGGGAAUUUUGGACAAUGGGCGAAAGCCUGAUCCAGCAAUGCCGCGUGUGUGAAGAAGGCCUUCGGGUUGUAAAGCACUUUUGUCCGGAAAGAAAUGGCUCUGGUUAAUACCUGGGGUCGAUGACGGUACCGGAAGAAUAAGGACCGGCUAACUACGUGCCAGCCGCCGCGGUAA